rnacentral:rRNA from 1 species
CAAGGUUUGACAUGCCGGUUACCGAUCUGAAAAGUGAGGGACCCUUCGGGGAGCCGGCACAGGUGGUGCAUGGUUGUCGUCAGCUCGUGCCGUGAGGUGUUGGGUUAAGUCCCGCAACGAGCGCAACCCUUAUCUUUAGUUGCCAGCACAUAAAGGUGGGCACUCUAGAGAGACUGCCGUCGACAAGGCGGAGGAAGGUGGGGAUGACGUCAAAUCAUCAUGCCCUUUAUAUCUUGGGCUACACACGUGCUACAAUGGCCGGUACAACGGGAAGCGAAAGCGCGAGCCGGAGCCAAUCCCAAAAAACCGGUCCCAGUUCGGAUUGCAGGCUGCAACUCGCCUGCAUGAAGUCGGAAUCGCUAGUAAUCGCAGGUCAGCAUACUGCGGUGAAUGCGUUCCC